rnacentral:rRNA from 1 species
GACGAACGCUGGCGGCGUGCUUAACACAUGCAAGUCGAGCGGUAAGGCCCUUUCGGGGGUACACGAGCGGCGAACGGGUGAGUAACACGUGGGUGACCUGCCCUCAGCUCUGGGAUAAGCCUGGGAAACCGGGUCUAAUACUGGAUAUGACUCCAUGACGCAUGUUGUGGGGUGGAAAGCCUUGUGCGGCUGAGGAUGGGCCCGCGGCCUAUCAGCCUGUUGGUGGGGUGANGGCCUACCAAGGCGACGACGGGUAGCCGGCCUGAGAGGGCGACCGGCCACACUGGGACUGAGACACGGCCCAGACUCCUACGGGAGGCAGCAGUGGGGAAUCUUGCGCAAUGGGCGAAAGCCUGACGCAGCGACGCCGCGUGAGGGAUGACGGCCCUCGGGUUGUAAACCUCUUUCAGCUCCGACGAAGCGAG